AUCAGCCCUCAACUCCCUCCGAUUCCACACCCUUAGCCGCUGAAUCAUUCAGAAUUCGCCCCUACCUUUCACCCGACUCGGCCCAAUGUUCUCUUGGUCGUCCUCCUCCCGUUGUCCGCCGCCGCCGCUGCCCCAGAUCCGGUCCCCUCGUCUCCCUGUCCCGCCUCCCUCCCUCUUGCGAUGCUGCCGCCGUCCUAUCGAUUUGGGACUCGGCCUGAUGCUCUGUUGGUCUGCCAUGGCCGCCGCCGCCUCAUCUUCGACCGCCGCUACGACUGGAUCUUCGACGAGUGGACGGACCCCACCGACGAAGCCCUCUCUGACGGCCGCGGAAUGUUAAUGCCUGCCCAAUCACCGUGCUGAAUUGGCCUCUUCGGCCGCGGCGGCCUUCGUCCCGUUUUCUUUUGUUCCCCAAUCUUGCGUUCCGCACUCGUACUGAUUGUUGGACUGCUGCUCUGCUCCAGGUUCUGCGUGGUGCCAAUGGCGCAGUCACUGAUGAACGCUGCAGUAUCUUCGGUAAAUCAUCUCGUGGAUACGAGCUGAAAUUUGUUCUCUUUAAUUGAUUGCUGAUUUGGGAUUCGCUAGUUGAUAUGGUAGGAGAAAUCUAGGCUUUGCAGUGGCAUGUUGGCAUUAAUACGUUCUUCUUUGAUAGGUUUUUUUUCAUGUUUGGGGCUUACAAUCAGUAUGGUGGCUAUCAUCCUUAGUUCCUUCCUGUUUGAUUAUCUUUUGGGAAUUUUUUUUAUUAAGUUUAGUUUCUAGGUUUGGAUAAUGUUAAGAAGGCCAGAGUAUCUACUGUAUUGUGAGAUACAUUAUUUCCUCAGGGGAGAUUUGUCUUUAAUUGCUGUCUAUACCAGAAGAGAUUGGUUAAAAUGAUAGUCAUUUAUCUUUUUUUUAUAACCAAAGCUGACAAGGCCUCUGUUACAUGUGAACUGCUGUUUUACAUUUAUAAAACUCAUAUUUGUCAAUCUGUGAUGGACACUAAGUAUUUAUCAUUAGCACCCUUAAAUCUAGAUGUAGUACAUAGAAAUCUCGUGCAACAAUAUGCUGUGUUUUUUACCCAAAAAUGAAUUUGCACUAGACAUUCUCCUCAGCAGGGUUCACAAAUAAAUGCCACCCUCUGAUCCCCAUUUUGGCAAAAUAAUUACACUUUGCUUUUUAUUCUUUAUCUACUUAAUCAAAUCUUUGAUAAGGAAAAUUUCAAAGUUAUGAUAUGUACUUCAAAAAUUGGUAGAAUCGAAGCUUACAAUGCUCCAUAAUGGUCUGUUUUAUAAUUGUGUUGAGUGUUCAAGAAGAGCUGAUGUAUAUUUUUGUGCAAUUGUAGAAGAAUUCAGGGCAUCGGAUUGUUGUUUGAUUGGGCGCAGGACCUGCAUAACUGAGUUUUUUAUGGUUUUAGGUUGAGGUCGUAAUAGGGAAGUGCUACUUAGUAGAUGCUGGGUACUCUUUCCAUGAAUCCAAGGUAUUUAUGGUUUUAGGUUGAGGUCAUGAUGUUUAAACUGUAAAAGACCAGUUGUCCAGUUUAGAAAUCUGUGUAAUGGCUCAGUCUAAAUGUUGUACUUAGUUAGGUUGAACUUGAACAGCCAUCUGAGCAGGUAAUGAGAGCACAUAGCCGCAUACUGAGCAGCCAUGGUCAAUGCUCUUUAUAGGGAUCUAUAACUUGUGUUCAUCUUUAGGAUUUGUGUACCAGUAUGCACCACAGUUGCUGUGUACUUGCUUGGAUGCUGGAAUAUUGUUGCACUA